AUACGUAGGGUGCGAGCGUUGUCCGGAAUUACUGGGCGUAAAGAGCUCGUAGGUGGUUUGUCGCGUCGUCUGUGACAUUCCGGGGCUUAACUCCGGGCGUGCAGGCGAUACGGGCAUAACUUGAGUACUGUAGGGGAGACUGGAAUUCCUGGUGUAGCGGUGAAAUGCGCAGAUAUCAGGAGGAACACCGGUGGCGAAGGCGGGUCUCUGGGCAGUAACUGACGCUGAGGAGCGAAAGCAUGGGUAGCGAACAGGAUUAGAUACCCUGGUAGUCCAUGCCGUAAACGGUGGGCGCUAGGUGUAGGGGUCUUCCACGACUUCUGUGCCGUAGCUAACGCAUUAAGCGCCCCGCCUGGGGAGUACGGCCGCAAGGCUAAAACUCAAAUGAAUUGACGGGG
rnacentral:rRNA from 1 species